rnacentral:rRNA from 15 species
UUCCGUAGGUGAACCUGCGG